rnacentral:rRNA from 1 species
AGCGAACGCUGGCGGCAGGCUUAACACAUGCAAGUCGAACGGGCAUCUUCGGAUGUCAGUGGCAGACGGGUGAGUAACACGUGGGAACGUACCCUUCGGUUCGGAAUAACUCAGGGAAACUUGAGCUAAUACCGGAUACGCCCUUUUGGGGAAAGGUUUACUGCCGAAGGAUCGGCACGCGUCUGAUUAGCUUGUUGGUGGGGUAACGGCCUACCAAGGCGACGAUCAGUAGCUGGUCUGAGAGGAUGAUCAGCCACACUGGGACUGAGACACGGCCCAGACUCCUACGGGAGGCAGCAGUGGGGAAUAUUGGACAAUGGGCGCAAGCCUGAUCCAGCCAUGCCGCGUGAGUGAUGAAGGCCUUAGGGUUGUAAAGCUCUUUUGUCCGGGACGAUAAUGACGGUACCGGAAGAAUAAGCCCCGGCUAACUUCGUG